CCAACGUGGGCAUCCCGUGAGGUUGCUCUCAUGGGCUCUGUCCAGGUGGCGUAUGGGAGUGUAGUACCUUUGCGUGCUGUGACAUAUAUUCCCCUUCCACAACGUUGGAGAGUAUGUGUGUCCCCGGUCCUUUGGUCUGGUGUGGACAGCUUCCUGUAUAUUCCUACAACUUCCUAGAGCCCUCGGGCAGUGACUGGGGAGACAAACCAUGCAGGAUACAAUA